AUUUAAAUAGUUUAAAUAAAACAUAAUAUUGAAGAUAUUAAAAUAAUAAUAAUUUUUAAAUA
rnacentral:tRNA from 1 species